GAGGGUGUAGCUCAGGGGUAGAGCAUGUGCUUAGCAUGCACGAGGUUCUGGGUUCAAUCCCCAGUACCUCCA
rnacentral:tRNA from 1 species